GACGAACGCUGGCGGCGUGCUUAACACAUGCAAGUCGAACGGAAAGGCCCUGCUUUUGUGGGGUGCUCGAGUGGCGAACGGGUGAGUAACACGUGAGUAACCUGCCCUUGACUUUGGGAUAACUUCAGGAAACUGGGGCUAAUACCGGAUAGGCGCUCCUGCUGCAUGGUGGGGGUUGGAAAGUUUCGGCGGUUGGGGAUGGACUCGCGGCUUAUCAGUUUGUUGGUGGGGUAGUGGCUUACCAAGGCUUUGACGGGUAGCCGGCCUGAGAGGGUGACCGGCCACAUUGGGACUGAGAUACGGCCCAGACUCCUACGGGAGGCAGCAGUGGGGAAUAUUGCACAAUGGGCGGAAGCCUGAUGCAGCAACGCCGCGUGCGGGAUGACGGCCUUCGGGUUGUAAACCGCUUUCGCCUGUGACGAAGCGUGAGUGACGGUAAUGGGUAAAGAAGCACCGGCUAACUACGUG
rnacentral:rRNA from 1 species